UCGGCUGAGAAGCUAGGAGUUCUGCUUUUUUGGUUUGCACCAAAUCUAUGACAUCUCUGAUGAGGGAAUCCUGAAUUUCGCAUGUCUUCUUGUUAGUAUAUGCUUCCCUCAUGACAUCAACAUGAUCAACGGGAUUACCGCCAUUUGCUUCGACCUAAACACAAAGUUAAUCAAUAAAUAUGUAAAAAUAUUAAAAAAUAUAUAUUUUAAAUAAAUAGAACUUACAAGCUGGUCCUCCAAAGAAGACAUACUGCAAGCCCCGAGGUUGUGGACAAAAACACCUUUCCCGCCACGAUCACUGUUGCGGUUGGCUGCGUUUUUGGCGGACUUUUCCUUAGUCUCCUGCUUCCCCCAAUGCACCUGCAAGUCCUCCCAAACUUUGGUGUUGAUAUUCUUCGGUAUCUUGCCCUU
rnacentral:lncRNA from 1 species